AGCAGCCGCGGUAAUUCCAGCUCCAAUAGCGUAUAUUAAAGUUGUUGCAGUUAAAAAGCUCGUAGUUGAAUUUCAGGCCUGGCUGGGCGGUCCGCCUUUUGGGUGAGUACUGCCUGUGGUCGGGUCCUACCUUCUGGCGAAGCGUCAUGGCCUUAACCGGCCGUGGCGGGGAACCAGGACUUUUUACUGUGAAAAAAUUAGAGUGUUCAAAGCAGGCAGUCGCUUGAAUACAUUAGCAUGGAAUAAUGGAAUAGGACAGUGGUUCUAUUUGUUGGUUUCUAGGACCGUUGUAAUGAUUAAUAGGGAUAGUUGGGGGCAUUAGUAUUCAAUUGUCAGAGGUGAAAUUCUUGGAUUUAUUGAAGACUAACUACUGCGAAAGCAUUUGCCAAGGAUGUUUUCAUUAAUCAAGAACGAAAGUUAGGGGAUCGAAGACGAUCAGAUACCGUCGUAGUCUUAACCAUAAACUAUGCCGACUAGGAAUCGGGCGAUGUUGACAAAAUGACGCGCUCGGCACCUCAUA
rnacentral:rRNA from 1 species